CAGGGACUGAUGCCGUAAGCCGGAGCUGACUAGAGACCACCCACAGUCAUCUGCGGCCGACAUCUUCCCCGAGGAUCACAGGCUUGGGUUGGAACUCAGUUCUAAGAGGAUGAAUAGACCCGGAUUUCAGGGUCGUGCGUUGUGCAGUCAUGUUACAUUGAAAUGAAAAUCUUCUACAUUCUAAAGCCGAGCAAUGAACCCGCACGCCAGGUUACCGGCAGAACUUUCGGAGCGCUCCUGAUUCCUGGGCAAAGGGAGAAAAUGUGGCAAAGUCAACUCCGAACUAGGUCAGGCUGAUCGGACAUCAAAGCGCUGGAGAGAAGCAGCGGCAGCCGAAAAAUGUGAGUGCGUCCUCCAGCUGGCACCACUACAAGGGGAACAUCAGCCAAAAUAAGUCACUGUUCAGUACGGAACAUCACACUCCGCGCUCUCUCUCUCUACACAUUGUUCCUGCCAUCCACCACGAAUAGACAGAAGAACGCAUGAAAAUGACUCAAAAGUUCUGAAUCGA